rfam:Brassica napus, WGS project CCCW01000000 data, contig: 16029
GGAAUAUAAGAACAUGUCUCUUAACUUUUAACUAAAAAAACUAAGAACCGGUUCUUAAAUAAGAUUUUUAAGAACAUGUUCUUAGCUUUUUUUAGUUAAAAGUUAAAAGACAGGUUCUUAUAUUCC